rnacentral:tRNA from 1 species
UCCCCGAUGGCGCAACGGUAGCGCGGCUCGCUGUUAACGAGAAGGUUCUAGGUUCGAAUCCUAGUCGGGGAGCCC